UGUAAAUAAGUUCCUACUCCAG
rnacentral:siRNA from 1 species